UGGGGAAUAUUGCACAAUGGGCGCAAGCCUGAUGCAGCCAUGCCGCGUGUAUGAAGAAGGCCUUCGGGUUGUAAAGUACUUUCAGUCGGGAGGAAGGUGGUAAGGUUAAUAACCUUAUCAAUUGACGUUACCGACAGAAGAAGCACCGGCUAACUCCGUGCCAGCAGCCGCGGUAAUACGGAGGGUGCAAGCGUUAAUCGGAAUUACUGGGCGUAAAGCGCACGCAGGCGGUUGAUUGAGUCAGAUGUGAAAUCCCCGGGCUCAACCUGGGAACUGCAUCUGAUACUGGCAAGCUUGAGUCUCGUAGAGGGGGGUAGAAGUCCAGGUGUAGCGGUGAAAUGCGUAGAGAUCUGGAGGAAUACCGGUGGCGAAGGCGGCCCCCUGGACGAAGACUGACGCUCAGGUGCGAAAGCGUGGGGAGCAAACAGG
rnacentral:rRNA from 1 species